GACGAACGCUGGCGGCGUGCUUAACACAUGCCAGUCGAACGGAAAGGCCCUGCUUUUGUGGGUUUCUCGAGUGGCGAACGGGUGAGUAACACGUGAGUAACCUGCCCUUGACUUUGGGAUAACUUCAGGAAACUGGGGCUAAUACCGGAUAUGAGCUCCUGCUGCAGGAUGGGGGUGGGAAAGUAUAGGCGGUUGGGGUUGGACUGGCGGCUGGUCAGCUUGUUGGUGGGGUAGGGGCUUACCACGCAUGUGAGGGGUAGCCGGCCUGAGAGGGUGGUCGGCCAGAUAGGGAGGGAGAUAGGGCCGAGACUCAUACGGGAGGGAGCAGUGGGGAAUAGUGAACAAUGGGCGGAAGCAUGAUGCAGCAAAGCCGCGUGGGGGAGGACGGCCUUGGGGUUGUAAACCGCUUUCGCCUGUGACGAAGCGUGAGUGACGGUAAUGGGCAAAGAAGCACCGGCUAACUACGUG
rnacentral:rRNA from 1 species